GCGGGUGGAAAGCAGAGGAAGUUAUCUCGGAGUGUCCUGGUGUGAGUCCGUUUGAGAAAACUAAAACAAACAAACACCGCGCGUGGGCUCGAGUCCACCAGGGACUCGCGGUUGCCUAUCAGUCCACCUUUGUCCUGACGGAAUUUGAAUCUCUUUGCUGUGCGGCUUCAUUUCAGCUUAUGUACUGUAUCUGUAAAGAAGGGAUUUUCCCAAACUGAGUCCAAUGUUUAUUUUUGGCACACAAUUUCUCAGAUUUUUUCCAAUCCAUUUAUUUUUUUAUAAUUGUAUUAAUUUCAUGUAUUCUGUAUAUAUAUAUGUACUGCAGUAAGUUUGGGAGACCCGACUGUCAAGCACGACUUGUUUUUCAGUAAACAUUCCAAUGAAUGUAUUGAAGGAGGCAUAUUAUGUUUUUUUUUUAAACAAUAAACAUUUCUCAGAGGUCUCCAUAUCAUUGUUCUGCCAAAAUACUCAAAUUCUAACGUCCAGGGGCAGAGCUAGGGGGGGUUGUGAAGUGGUGAGUGGCUACUACUAGCCC